GGUGGUUUGUCGCGUUGUUCGUGAAAUCUCACGGCUUAACUGUGAGCGUGCGGGCGAUACGGGCAGACUUGAGUACUGCAGGGGAGACUGGAAUUCCUGGUGUAGCGGUGGAAUGCGCAGAUAUCAGGAGGAACACCGGUGGCGAAGGCGGGUCUCUGGGCAGUAACUGACGCUGAGGAGCGAAAGCGUGGGGAGCGAACAGGAUUAGAUACCCUGGUAGUCCACGCCGUAAACGGUGGGUACUAGGUGUGGGUUUCCUUCCUUGGGAUCCGUGCCGUAGCUAACGCAUUAAGUACCCCGCCUGGGGAGUACGGCCGCAAGGCUAAAACUCAAAGAAAUUGACGGGGGCCCGCACAAGCGGCGGAGCAUGUGGAUUAAUUCGAUGCAACGCGAAGAACCUUACCUGGGUUUGACAUGCACAGGACGCCGGCAGAGAUGUCGGUUCCCUUGUGGCCUGUGUGCAGGUGGUGCAUGGCUGUCGUCAGCUCGUGUCGUGAGAUGUUGGGUUAAGUCCCGCAACGAGCGCAACCCUUGUCUCAUGUUGCCAGCGGGUAAUGCCGGGGACUCGUGAGAGACUGCCGGGGUCAACUCGGAGGAAGGUGGGGAUGACGUCAAGUCAUCAUGCCCCUUAUGUCCAGGGCUUCACACAUGCUACAAUGGCCGGUACAAAGGGCUGCGAUGCCGCGAGGUUAAGCGAAUCCUUUUAAAGCCGGUCUCAGUUCGGAUCGGGGUCUGCAACUCGACCCCGUGAAGUCGGAGUCGCUAGUAAUCGCAG
rnacentral:rRNA from 1 species